AUGAACGUUGCGCUCAUGCUUCGUUGGGUUUGGCAGAUCUUGCGGGGUGAUGGCGGUUUGCGGCUGCAGCUGAUUGAAUCCAAGUACUUGCAGGGCCAGCCCCUCUGGGCUUGCUCGCGCUCGACUGGGUCCCAGUUUUGGAAAUCUAUCCGUACCAUCAAGGAUGAGAUUAGGCUGGGUUUGCGGUUCUUGAUUGGCAAUGGGUCUGGGACUCAGUUUUGGUUGGACCCCUGGCUUGAUGGAGGGCCUCUCCGCAUGCGGUUUCCGAGGCUCUUUGCGAUUUGUGAUGACCCGACUGUUGUUGUAUCUUCGACUGCUUUGGAUGGGGGUGGAAUAUUACGUUUCGCCGCUCAUUCGGACCAGCCAAGGUACAAGAAUGGACAGACUUGA
rnacentral:rRNA from 1 species